UGUGGUCGGGGGUCGCAGGUGGUCCAGCGGUGCCGUGCUUGAGGAUGGAGGUAGAAAUCUUCUCACGGGGAGAGAGGAAGGGCCUGGAUCAUUUUCAAUAUGAUGCUUGGUUAUUCAAAAGACCACCUUGACACAAGUUUCCAGGAGCAGGUGAAUGAACUGGGCCUAAAACAAAACCUUCAGCUAGAGAGAUGAAGUCUGAGAAAACUCAAGAGAUAGUUAGAUGCCAGACUGACAUUUUCCAGAGCUAAGGAGAUGGAUACAUUACAGUCAACCCCAGCUGAUUGGAGGUAAUUAUAGGAAUGCCAUAUUCUUUAUUUGUUUGCUCCUUUUUUUUUUUAAUAUAAUAAACUUCCAGUGGAAUUGCUACCCCAGGAGGGAGUGAUUCAUUCCUGAAGGGAUCCAGGAGAAGUGUGUCUUUUGACACUUGUGUUUUGUU
rnacentral:lncRNA from 1 species